AACGAACGCUGGCGGCAUGCCUAACACAUGCAAGUCGAACGAGACCUUCGGGUCUAGUGGCGCACGGGUGCGUAACGCGUGGGAACCUGCCCUUAGGUUCGGAAUAACUCCCCGAAAGGGGUGCUAAUACCGGAUAAUGUCUUCGGACCAAAGAUUUAUCGCCUUUGGAUGGGCCCGCGUUGGAUUAGCUAGUUGGUAGGGUAAAAGCCUACCAAGGCGACGAUCCAUAGCUGGUCUGAGAGGAUGAUCAGCCACACUGGGACUGAGACACGGCCCAGACUCCUACGGGAGGCAGCAGUAGGGAAUAUUAGACAAUGAGCGAAAGCCUGAUCCAGCAAUGCCGCGUGAGUGAUGAAGGCCUUAGGGUUGUAAAGCUCUUUUACCCGGGAUGAUAAUGACAGUACCGGGAGAAUAAGCACCGGCUAACUCCGUG
rnacentral:rRNA from 1 species